rnacentral:rRNA from 1 species
CCUACGGGUGGCAGCAGUGAGGAAUAUUGGUCAAUGGGCGGGAGCCUGAACCAGCCAAGUCGCGUGAGGGAAGACGGUCCUAUGGAUUGUAAACCUCUUUAGGCGGGGAGCAAUGCCGGGCACGCGUGCCCGGAGGGAGAGUACCCGCAGAAUAAGCAUCGGCUAACUCCGUGCCAGCAGCCGCGGUAAUACGGAGGAUGCGAGCGUUAUCCGGAUGUAUUGGGUUUAAAGGGUGCGUAGGCGGAUUUUUAAGUCAGCGGUAAAAUGUCCGGGCUCAACCCGGGCCGGCCGUUGAAACUGGUUUUCUUGAGUGAGUGAGAAGUAUGCGGAAUGCGUGGUGUAGCGGUGAAAUGCAUAGAUAUCACGCAGAACUCCGAUUGCGAAGGCAGCAUACCGGCGCUCAACUGACGCUCAUGCACGAAAGUGUGGGUAUCGAACAGGAUUAGAUACCCGAGUAGUC